AAGGCCUUAGCUUAAUUAAAGCGUUUGCGUUGCAUGCAGUAGAUGUGGGAUAGUACCCCGCAGGUCUUA
rnacentral:tRNA from 1 species